AUCUCAAUAAUACCACAUAAAAACUAAAAUACAAUUAUAUAUCGUAUAAUACAACACAAAAUAAUCUGCAACCAUUAAAUUUCAUACAUCUUACAUAUCUUAUAAACAGAAAACCGUAAUAAUAAAAAAGGCUCUAAAAUUCAGGCGCGAUGAUUGCAUCAGUUUAAAAACAGACAUACUCAAGAAACAGAUACACUAAGAUCAGUCUAUUAUAAUAAAACUUACUAUCACUAUAUAAUUUACCCACAUAUGUUAACAUUCUAAUACACGUAUACAAACUAAACACACAUAUACAUCAAUGAAGAAAUGUAAAAGUAAAUAUAAUCGAACUACAAUAUGGCCACAAGCUUUAAAGCUUAAAGCUCGAGUACAUCUAACGCUUUUUUACUCUCCUCUUCUUUUAAUAUUUAUAAACUUCUGCAUCUUAUAACUUUUUCCUUCAACCGAGCACCAGUUCGGCAUCAACAUCAGCAACGUUAACAUCUUUUAAAAGUAAAACUUAAGUGACUUGAAUAAAUAAACAAUUUUACAUUUAAAUUAUUUUUAAAGUUUGAAAUUAUUUUUAAAAUGGACAGCCGUUGGAGAAAUGCAGGAAUCGCUGAAAUAACAAUGCAAGCGUACGCAGACCGCCACGGAUUGUCUGCCGGAAGAAAUGAAUCCGAUAGUAUUUGUUGGCGGCCCAGGGCCAAACCAAUUGCAUUGACCAUUGUUUGCAUUAUUAUUGUGUCUUUGGCGGUUUACUGGCUGAUUGUUGGCCCGAUUUUUGAGAGCCAGAAGCAGAGAGGCAAGAUCAGCCGGGGAGAACGCAAUUGUGAUUGAGUUUUUAUUUAUGUGGAAGAUUGUAUUGAUUUUUGAUAAUUAAUUUUAAUAAAUUUAAUGGAGAAUUUA